rnacentral:rRNA from 1 species
UACGGAGGGUGCAAGCGUUAUCCGGAUUCACUGGGUUUAAAGGGUGCGUAGGCGGACAUGUAAGUCCGUGGUGAAAUCUCUAAGCUUAACUUGGAAACUGCCAUGGAUACUAUAUGUCUUGAAUGUUGUGGAGGUUAGCGGAAUAUGUCAUGUAGCGGUGAAAUGCUUAGAUAUGACAUAGAACACCAAUUGCGAAGGCAGCUGGCUACACGAAUAUUGACACUGAUGCACGAAAGCGUGGGGAUCAAACAGG